rnacentral:sRNA from 1 species
GAAUACCUGGCGGCGAAUCCUCCUCCCAUCGCUGCCAGGGACGGGCCGAAACCUCCUCCCUUCGGCCCACCAAGGAAAGACCGGGUCCUCCCCCCGGUCUUUUUUU